CCCAUUAAACCACCGCCACCGCCACCAAGCCACGCAGCACUACACACCACAGCAAACAACAGUGAAGGCGAUGGUUACUGCUGUCAAUCUUGGCAAUCAAUGUGAGCGGCCAUGUCUGAACACCCGCCGUGAGGAACCCUAUACACGUCCCGAGAAAAAAGAAAACGCUUUCACUUGGAGUGUUACCCCACGUGUAGAAACCGCGUUUGGAAUUGCUGCCCUUGCUUUGGCUGCAGGAAGGCUAAAGGCAGGCAGAUGUUGAGGAGGGAUGCUGACCUGCUGGGGCUCCCUGCACAGGGAAGAGACCGCAGGCGCUCACAUCACGUCAGGGCACUUACCUGUGCACAGCUGUCACGGCUUUUUGCGCCGUGUGUCUCACUAAAUGCGUUAAAGUAAAGCAGUAUUCAACAAGCGAGGCAACCUGUAUGUGUGCUAAGUCGUAGGUACCGCAUCUUUAACCUGAGCAGUAAACCUGCAACUCCUGGAGAGUUGGCGAAACAGUCCCAGAAGUUUUGGAUUCAAAGGGCAAGAAAUUUCACUUUAAAAGCCAUUCACCCACUUCUAAGCUGCCUUCUCACCCCAGUUAAUGCCGAACACUUAAGAGGCAUGUUUAUAAAUUCCCUGUGCGGACACUGUCCGACAAUGAAGGCUUGUUAUAGAUGUUCAGAGAAACUUUUGCGAAAUAAUCAACAACAUCUGAGAGAAAGCUAAAGGAAAAUAAGUUAAAGCCUGAUAAUCCGAUUGGGGAAAAGUUUUGUUAAGACUAGAUAGAAGCAAAUUGCUGUACGUUUCUUCAAAAGCAAACCCAUCAGCUGAUACGAGUUCUCCUAGAACAAGAACCUCUGGCGAAUUUCUCCAAAAUUAGGCGACGUUUGAAUUUUAUAACACUCAGAGCUAAAGAUCCGCCUGAAAACAAAAACUCUGAAUUCCUUACAGCGUCAUCUGCCAACAAAAUGUAUUGUCUUGGCAGAAAGAGGA